CGGCUAGUAUACUUAUAUGUUUGUAUGUUUUUUUACAAUUGUACUUACUACAAAACCCUCAGCAACAACAAUAUUUUUCGCUAAACCCAACAUUAGUCAAUGACGUCAUAGCACAAAGUCAACAUCGUAACAAAUUUUAAGUAAAGUGUAUGUAUGUAUGUAUGUGUUUGUAUGCGUGACGUAUCUAACAGUAAAAGCAAAAUAAACAGCACAUUUAGAAAACAUGACACAGAGUAAAGAAAUUUUAGAUAAAACCGAAGUACUGACGAACCACCCAGCAGUUAACAACCAAGAGGAUGUGAAUGAAGCAGUAAGUUUAAGACAACAUAUUUACAUACACAUAUGCAUUGGUAUAUUAGACCGUAUCACUAUAUAUGUGCGAUUUUGAGUGUAUAUCAGCAAUGUUUUUAUAACCCGUAAAAACUAAUAAAUCGGUUAUUUUCUAUAAUUUUCCUUUUUGAAGUCCUAAACUUUGCAUGUUGCACAUACAUAUGCAUGUGCUCUUUGACACCCACUCAACUAGCACAUCUCCUUUUGUCCGAUACCAUCGAAACACCCCAUAACCUGCCAUUUUCUGAGUUUGACGACAACGGUUGAAGGAUUUAUAUAAUCUGGUUUAGGCCAGGUAUCCGCAACAAUAACUUCAUAAGCAGAAAUCUUCUUCGGGGAGGAAAUUCUCAAUAACGAAAACAUAUGUAUGUAUGUAUCCGACAGCACAACAUCCAUCAAUAGUUUUCGUGGAACCACAGCCAUUUUCGGGUCUUGGCUAGCCCGUCUCCAAGUUUUUAAUUGAGUGCAGUUUUUACAGUGCAGAUCCGUUCGUACAGCAAAAAGUCAACGCACUUAAUCGACAACAAAACGUCUCUAGGUAAGAAAUAGGGUACUAAAGCGCACUGGAUUUAUACAGCAGUCAUAUGUCCUAUUUUAUUCAACGACAUCACAGUCCAUCCACGCCCACUAAAGCGUUGGAAACACUUCUAAAAUUUCUGCCUGUUUAAUUUUCGGUAAGUUUCAAGCUAUUCAGUUAGACUAAAUGCACUGUCAAAAUGAAGAGUCACUAGAUUCCGUCACACCAACAUUCUAACGAACUACCCCGAUACUAUUAAGUCCCAUAUUACAAAACGCCUCUAUCCCUUCGAGGAAGGACUGACAGGAUGAUGCGGCUACACUCAAAGGACCUCUUGUUAAACCGCUGUUUUAGGCUACCAAUUCAUUGCAGAGCUCGCUGGCCUAAAAGAGGCUGCAUUUUGGCUUAUAAAAUCUUCUCUUAAUCUGCCUUCACCAACGAAGUACUCACUCAGCCAAGCAGCUAUAAAAUGUUAAAUGUCUGACGUCAAAACUUUUCACGAUGCGGGAAAAACAUGGCUUAAAAUACAAAAAAAAGGCAAAUAAAAGACGGUCGUUGGAAGCCACGUGUGGGACCACUCGACAAAUCUGGCCCAGCUUCGACAAGAAAAUAUCCAACACACUCAUUCGACUAGAAUGACCUCUACUAAGGCAAGUUUCCGGUAUCUUAACUUAACCCUACUUAAUUGGCAGGCACGCUAGCAGAAUGGGCUUACCGGUCAAUGAUUUCCGCCAGAGCUGCCGCGACGAAGAAGAAAUUUAGAGUAUUGAAUACUGCCUCUGCUACUGCAAUGUCUUUUCGUGGGCUAUAAGACGCCCAUUCCACCACCACCUCUUUGUAUGUCUGGCGGAGCUAAACGAAGCAGGCAUUCAUGAUUUCUUAUGCUUUAUUAACCUAAUCAACUGGCUACACUUCUAGGUGAACGGAUGGGAUCGAAUACGAACUCUCAAUUGGUAUCACGACGUUACCACUGAACCUAAGUGUGCCUAUCUGCAACAUUAAAGAUGUGCUGAGACGAUACUUUUUAGUAUUGAUCGAUACUCGAUACCGAUUCAAAGAGUAUCCAAAACUCUCGAUUCUCAGUACCGAAAUAUUGGAAUUUCUUAUUAAUAGACCGAUAUCGCCAAAAAAAUAUGGAAUAACAGCUGUUUAGGAGAGCACCGGCUAUGAAAAGCCACAUGUAGGUACUUAUAGGGAUCCGUUUGCGGUUUUUUCGCUGGCUGGGUUAAGAUGGAGCUUAAAGUAUCGAAUCGGUAUCUGGUACCGAAAGGGAAGAUGUUGGGUGCCGCAAUUUUUUUCAAGUAUUUGGUUACCGAUCUCAGACGUUGGCCAGUUUAGGAUCUUCUUUCGUAUACGAUUUUGGUUGACCUUUAAGAGAUUUUUCUUUCACAGAAAAUAGGUCGGGCUAUAAUCUCUGAAGCCAUAUCGUUAAGGUUGGGAAAGGUUCUGUUAUAGUGGUUUCAGUCGCCAAACUGACACGAGGCCCAUCUCUUCAAGAAUAGUUCGAUUUACUCUUUUCACGGGCAUAUGGACUCAAGCGUGUCUCUCCUAGCCAACUCAUGCACAGCACUAUUUCUUGCAAUAUAUGUAACUAUGGAGUGGUCUACUAACAAGGAUGUAACCAGACGCAGCUGAAAGAAAAAGAUAGAAAGAAGCACACCUUGACAGAGACCCAGAACCUGAUAGCUGCUGGGCUAACCGAAUAUAUGUCCAAUCGGAAAACAUUACGGUGAUCUGCAAGAACAAUUUCGGGCAAACGAAUACAUAUUUGGGUUGUCUGUUUGUCUAAAUCUUAGUAAAACUUUUUUUAAUUAUCGACAACUACGUCACCCAAAUAAUAUAAUUUUUUUUUGUUUUUUUCAGCCAUAAUAAUGGUUCAGGUGAGUUGAUAACGAAUUCUAUGUCUGACAGAUAUAAUUCUAAGUACUUAUGAACUCAUAUGUAUGUAUGUACAUAGGCAAUCGAAUCCGAAUAAAAACCACACCAUACGAAAAGUCGCAUAGACGAUGACAAAAAAUAGCAAAAUUAGACGAUAAAUACGACUAUGAAAUGUAGACAAAAACAUAAAUAGGCACAAGCGGAAAUUAUGAAAAGGUGAGUGCUGUAAAAAAACAACAACAACGUUGGGAAUUGAAGAGUGCAGAAGUGGACAAGAAAAAUUGGAAGCGAAAGGUAAAUAAAAACAAUUUAGAAAAAGUUCUGAGGUGUGAACCAUAGAGAGAGAGAAAGAGAGAGAGAGGGACGAGCGACAGUGUGUGGGAACAAGAAUGAGAAAUAGUGUUAAAAGAGCAGGAAACAAAAAGUGAACGGAAGUAAUGGCGUAAUAAAAUGUGGCAAAAGCGCCAACAACCACACUCAAUAGAUGAGGAAGUGCGAACUACAAACAUUUGGUGGAGACAGUCACACAAAAAUAAAAUAGAAAACACGAAAUACAGCGAAUCCCAUAAAAGUGUCAUAAAAACAAGUUGCGCUCACGAAAGAGAGCUUGUUGCAGCUACAUACAUAUGUAAGUACUUGGGCAGUGUGUGUGAGUAAUGAGUUUCGAAAACUUGAAUGUGAACGCAAGUAAAAAACCUAAAUCCCAUAAAAUAAAAAGAAAAUAAAAUCGAGAUUAUCAACGAAGCAAGUGAACGACGGCAAUGGCGAUAGCGAUGAGGAUGAGGAUGACGAGAACGACAACGACAACGACGACAAACAACCACCGACAACCACCAGCGCACCGUGUCAACAACACCAACGGAAAGAGCAACAAACACCAACCAAACAGCAGUAAUAGGAACAGCAACAGAGCAACGAAGCAUCAGAGUGCACCAGAGCACCAAAGCUUGGAGCAACUGCGUACAGCGAACAGACCAGCUAGUUCGGUUUUAGUGACUUGACCGCUUCAUCGAGGUGGUUGCUUUGCUCAGUAGCUGUAUGCCCGUCAGGCGCGUCGGUUGUAAAACUUUUAGCAAACGUCCGCCAUUGUGGACGCCAUUUUCGAUGAACGUGAAGACGUGAAUACAUGUCUAGAUACGGCUGCAACGAAGCAAACGCUAAUAAACAUUAACAAAAAAAAACGUUAAAAGUGUGUGAUAAGAUUAAAUGAAGACAGAGCAAGCAAAUACGAAAAUAAAUAAACAAUAAAAAAAAAUUUUAAAUUUUGUGGCGGCUAGUGUGUCUCGUCUACGUCUACAAACGUCUGGUGCGCGUACACUUGGGCUAUUUUCGUUUGCUUAAAACACUUGCAACGUUUAGCGAGUAGUUUGCGCGAUUAUUUCACACACAAAAAAACAAGAAACAGAAAACAAAAUUUUUGGCUGAAGAUUUCUUUUUGCGCUGGGUUUUCGGUCCGACACAACGACGCAAGCAACAACGUCUGUGCUGAAGAAUUAUUUACUCAGCAACAAUAAAAUUAUACUAAUAGUGAAACUGUCUGCGUUCCUGUUAAUCAAUCAUUCCUAAGCUCAAACAAAGCAAGUAAAAAUAAAAAGUAGCACACACAUACUUGCAUACCUAAUUAUCUACAAAUGUACAUAGACAAUAUAACAAUACAAAAUAAAAAAGCAACAAGUUUCCAAAAAAAAAAAAACAAAACAAAAGCCAAAACAAGAACACUGCUAUAAAUAAAAGAGCAAACUAAAAGAAUUUCGUAGCACACCAAUUUGAAAAGGCAUAAAACUAUAACUAAUAAGCAUAAACAAUAAUUCUUUAACAUAAAAAUAUUCAACCAAUAGAAUAUUUAUAGCUCGCCCAACAUACAAGCUACAUAGUAGCCAAGCAAAAAAAAAGGCGAGCAAUUGGCGACAAAACAACUACAUACAUAUAUACAACAAAAACAAUCGCUCAACAGCACUGUAACCAGCAAGAUAAAUAAAAAGUAAGUCGCAAAAUAUGUAUAAAAAAAAAAA